AGAGUUUGAUCCUGGCUCAGGAUGAACGCUGGCGGCGUGCUUAACACAUGCAAGUCGAGCGAAGCACUUUGGAAAGAUUCUUCGGAUGAUUUCCUUUGUGACUGAGCGGCGGACGGGUGAGUAACGCGUGGGUAACCUGCCUCAUACAGGGGGAUAACAGUUAGAAAUGACUGCUAAUACCGCAUAAGACCACGGUACCGCAUGGUACAGUGGUAAAAACUCCGGUGGUAUGAGAUGGACCCGCGUCUGAUUAGGUAGUUGGUGGGGUAACGGCCUACCAAGCCGACGAUCAGUAGCCGACCUGAGAGGGUGACCGGCCACAUUGGGACUGAGACACGGCCCAGACUCCUACGGGAGGCAGCAGUGGGGAAUAUUGCACAAUGGAGGAAACUCUGAUGCAGCGACGCCGCGUGAAGGAUGAAGUAUUUCGGUAUGUAAACUUCUAUCAGCAGGGAAGAAAAUGACGGUACCUGACUAAGAAGCCCCGGCUAACUACGUGCCAGCAGCCGCGGUAAUACGUAGGGGGCAAGCGUUAUCCGGAUUUACUGGGUGUAAAGGGAGCGUAGACGGCACGGCAAGCCAGAUGUGAAAGCCCGGGGCUCAACCCCGGGACUGCAUUUGGAACUGCUGAGCUAGAGUGUCGGAGAGGCAAGUGGAAUUCCUAGUGUAGCGGUGAAAUGCGUAGAUAUUAGGAGGAACACCAGUGGCGAAGGCGGCUUGCUGGACGAUGACUGACGCUGAUGCUCGAAAGUGUGGGUAUCAAACAGGAUUAGAUACCCUGGUAGUCCACACAGUAAACGAUGAAUACUCGCUGUUUGCGAUAUACAGUAAGCGGCCAAGCGAAAGCGUUAAGUAUUCCACCUGGGGAGUACGCCGGCAACGGUGAAACUCAAAGGAAUUGACGGGGGCCCGCACAAGCGGAGGAACAUGUGGUUUAAUUCGAUGAUACGCGAGGAACCUUACCCGGGCUUGAAUUGCAACUGAAUGAUGUGGAGACAUGUCAGCCGCAAGGCAGUUGUGAAGGUGCUGCAUGGUUGUCGUCAGCUCGUGCCGUGAGGUGUCGGCUUAAGUGCCAUAACGAGCGCAACCCUUAUCGAUAGUUACCAUCAGGUUAUGCUGGGGACUCUGUCGAGACUGCCGUCGUAAGAUGUGAGGAAGGUGGGGAUGACGUCAAAUCAGCACGGCCCUUACGUCCGGGGCUACACACGUGUUACAAUGGGGGGUACAGAAGGCAGCUACACGGCGACGUGAUGCUAAUCCCGAAAGCCUCUCUCAGUUCGGAUUGGAGUCUGCAACCCGACUCCAUGAAGCUGGAUUCGCUAGUAAUCGCGCAUCAGCCACGGCGCGGUGAAUACGUUCCCGGGCCUUGUACACACCGCCCGUCA
rnacentral:rRNA from 1 species